rnacentral:rRNA from 1 species
UACGGAGGGUGCGAGCGUUGUCCGGAUUUAUUGGGUUUAAAGGGUGCGUAGGUGGGUUAAUAAGUCAGUGGUGAAAUACGGUUGCUCAACAAUCGAGGUGCCAUUGAUACUGUUAAUCUUGAAAACAAGUGGAGGUUGCCGGAAUGGAUGGUGUAGCGGUGAAACGCAUAGAUAUCAUCCAGAACACCGAUUGCGAAGGCAGGUGACUACGUUUGAUUUUGACACUGAGGCACGAAAGCAUGGGGAGCAAACAGG